rnacentral:tRNA from 2 species
GGUCGGUUAACUCAGUUGGUUAGAGUGUGGUGCUAAUAACGCCAAAGUCGAGGGUUCGACCCCCUCACUGACCA